GGAAGGAGGCGGGAUCUGCUUGCCAGCGGGCGUUCCCGCUUAGCGCUCUCUCCAGAAACCGCGGGGCAGUUUCCUGGGUGAGGGCCAGACGCCUGGGGUCCGUUUGUCGCCUGCUGAGACUAGACAAGGACCUCGGGAGGGCGAGGUUGGGGGAGAGGGCUACGGUGGAGAUCCCGCCGCGCUUGGGCUGGGUCCGGAGCCGCCAGGACGCACAGCGGGCACGGAACUCAACACUUUAUGUGCUCCCUGUCAUUCGAUGCUAACAAUACCAAUAUUCAAUGAAAAGUACUGAGGCUUAAAAGUCAGAUGACUUGUCCAGAAUCACAGGAUAGAAGCCCAGGUAAUCUGGUAUAAGAGCCAGGCUUUUCUUCUACUACAACAUUCUUCAUCCUGUAUGACCUUGGAAAUCUGGAAUUAGAAGAGUGGAGUUCACGUGUCACCUGAAAUGCUCCUUAGGUCACAAAGGCAACUAAAGCUCAAAAAUAAGGGACCUAAGUGGUUUAAAAAAUGUCAUAUGGCAUGUCAGAGGAUCUGUCCUGGUCAACUGGUAGCGGUUGCCUGGAGGAUUGUGUUGGGAUAGGACUAUGAAGUCCAAUCUGAGUCUCAUGGGAGGAAAGUCAUGUUGUGAUUGAUUGAAGAUGUCUGCUUAGUAUGCUACAAUGGAAUCAUACCAAGGGAGUAUUUAAUGUUUGCAAAUUCAUAUUUUUGUGCUCUGCUAAGGAACAGAUUGGAGGAUAGGAAGGAUCAGAGAAACAGAAAUCAAGAUUGUGUGAAUGGCAGCUUGGAAAUGAAAAAGAGAACAAAUGAAUGAGCAAUUAAAAUAUUGCAGACUCUUCCAAUUGCCAUUUCAUGCAAUGAAUAUAUGCCUCUAAGUGAGUGUAGGAACCUUGAUAGAAUUUCCCGUUCUCUCAGUCAGGAACAUAUCUCGAUACAGAGUAUGAUUCUGGGCUUUAAAGCUACUUUUCUAUUCUUUUUUUUUCCCCCCAAUGCAACAUGUCUCAGAUGCAAGCUACCUACAGUAGUUUGCAGUGUUCAUUUGCGGUGGGGGAAACACAGUGUGUUUCAAUAGGGGAGGCAAAUUUGGCAAUAUUGAAUGUUUUGAAACAUGUUUAUUAGGUUUUCAUAUGCAGUUUUCCACAAGGCAAUUUUGACUUGAUACAUUGUCAUCUAUAUUAUGUACUUACAAAUCACCCCCUUGAAAGAUGUAUCUCUACUGUACAUCAUAAAUGUUAUGUCCUCUAACAAGCCCAAGGUAACAUCAGGCAUUAAAAACUCAAUGUUAACUUUAAUUAGUACCCUCACCUGCAAGAGUGCAAGUGAUUGAAGAUUACAGCAAAUGCUUAUCCCGUUCCUUUAAGUCCCCAGAAUGACUCUAGACUCAUUCCUUAUUCUUCUCAGGCUUUGCUAACUGGAGUACAGGAGCAAUCAGCAGGCCCAGAGAGUAUGUUUUACCUUUCUGAUAACUUUAUUGGAUGAUCAAAUCACUGGUUUACCUUGGUCAUUUGAAUAUCUGUACCAAGUGCUCACUCUGCUAGCCACCCUACAGAAAGAAAGCGAUCAGGCCAACAGGAGUUCAAACAAUGACCUAUAACUCUAGCAUUAGAAGCUCAGGCCCUAAACUAGGGUCAUUCUCAGUCUAGGUCUGGUUGUCAGCUCAUAACUGUACUAGUCACAACUUAUGCGUUCAUGUGUUAUACCUGCAUGUUUUUGCUUCUAUCUUAGGGGAUUUUGUUAUCAGAGAUGGAACAUGUACACAGGCAGAUAAGAAUUCUAAAUAUAAUCCCCUUCUUGCCUUCAGAAAUCUCUGUAAAGCCUUUGAAAAAUGCAAAAGUGGCUUAUUUGAAGUAAAAACUGGAAUAUUAAUCAGGAAUUAAAGAUACCUGGCUGGUAUUUCAGAUUCUGCCUUGGAUUGCUGGUCAUAUUCAACAUCUUCUUUAUCUGUGGCAUGAAGAGACUACUGUGUCUGUCUCUUUUGGCACAAAAGCGAUGAAGAUAAAUGAUAUACUGUGCUUCAGUAUAAUUCCUUUGUUAAUUACAAUAUUACAUAA